AUGCUCCGGCUCCGCCACACCGUCCUCUCCCAGCUCCUCUCGUCUUCCCCCGCCUCUCCCAUCUCCCACCUCAGCCGCCUCUUCUCCGCCGUCUCCCCGAACCCUAGCUUCGCCGUGGAGGAGUAUCUCGUCGCCACCUGCGGCCUCACCCGACCCCAGGCCCUCAAGGCCUCCGCCAAGCUCUCCCACCUCAAGUCCCCCGCCAAUCCCGACGCCGUCCUCGCCUUCCUCACCGGCCUCGGCCUCUCCGGCGCCGACGUCGCCGCCCUCGUCGCCAAGGACCCGCAGUUCCUCUGCGCCAAAGUGGAGAGAACCCUGGCCCCCGUCGUCGCUGGGCUCACCGGCCUCGGCCUGUCACGUUCUGACAUCGCGCACCUCGUCUCGCUCUCCCGUGACAAAUUCCGAUGUAGAUCCAUGGUCUCAAAUCUGCAGUACUUCCUGCACCUCUUCGGCUCCUUUGAGAACCUCCUCCCUGCUCUCAGGCGCGGCUCAUGCCUUCUCUCAGCCAACAUUGAUACAGUGGUCAAGCCCAAUGUUGCGUUCCUGCGAGAGUGCGGGCUAGGUGACUGUGACAUUGCCAAGUUGUGCAUCGCCGAGCCAUGGCUGCUCGCCUCAAACGUAGAGUGCGUGUGGGAAAUGGUGGCACGCGCCCAAGGUAUUGGUGUGCCCUGUGUCUCUCGGAUGUUCAGGCACGCGUUGCGGGCUGUUGCAUUCCUUAGCAAGGAGAAAAUCGCCGCCAAAGUGGAGCACUUGAAGAAGACGUUCAGGUGGUCUGAUGCCGAGGUGGGCAUUGCUUUGUCCAAGCUUCCAAUUGUGCUGGUGAGGUCUAACCAGAUGCUGGAGAGCAGGUCAGAGUUCCUAAUCUCUGAGGUGGGGUUUGAGCCAGCAUACAUUGCUCAUCAUCCGGCAUUGCUCACGUACAGCCUGGAGGGCCGGAUCAUACCCCGGUACUAUGUUGUAAAGUUUCUUAAGGAAAAUGGACUGCUGGAUCACAACCGGAGCUACUAUUCUGCAGUCAUGGUGAUGGAGAAAGUAUUCGUGGACAAGUACAUAUGCCCUCACAAGGAAGUUGCACCAUACCUUGCUGAAGACUAUGAUGCCGCUUGCAGAGGGGAGGUGUCAACUAGAUUCAAAUUUACAUGA
rnacentral:rRNA from 1 species